UACGGAGGGUGCAAGCGUUGCUCGGAAUUAUUGGGCGUAAAGGGUAGGUAGGUGGUCUCGUUUGUCAGGGGUGAAAGCCUUGGGCUUAACUCAAGAAGUGCCCCUGAAACGGCGAGACUCGAGUACUGGAGAGGCUAGUGGAAUUCCCGGUGUAGCGGUGAAAUGCGUAGAGAUCGGGAGGAACACCAGAGGCGAAGGCGGCUAGCUGGACAGUUACUGACACUCAACUACGAAAGCGUGGGGAGCAAACAGGA
rnacentral:rRNA from 1 species